GCCCAAUGUACAGAUGUUGCUUGUUCCCUGUAGAGUACAUGUAUAUUGACCCAUAUUUUUGAGCCCAGAGGUGGAGGUAGGGGAAGAUGGAUUUAACCCAAGUAUUGUGGGACACAGCAGGUUGAGAUGCUUGAUCGUUGACAAGCACUGACUGGAUAUUUUUCAUUUCUUGAAUGUUCCCAUAUAAGAAAGAAGGUUUUGGCCCUCGGAUUCCUUGUCUCCAGAGAGUUGAACGAAUCCU
rnacentral:misc_RNA from 1 species